ensembl:lncRNA
CUGUGGGAGUGAGGUGAGGGGUGGGCAAGGUCAGAGAUGAGGAAGAAAGGUGCUGCCAUGUGGACAAAACCCAAGAAGGGGAGGGUGUCCUGGCCUUGGGUGGGGUGGGGGAGGGGCUGGACUUCAGCCAGGCCCGCCCUGGACUGGACAGGGCUCCUCCUGCAGGCAGCUGGGGGCCUUGUCCCUGCAGAGCUGACUUUGGCUACAGACACCUCAUUCAGGUUUGAGCCACAGGGCUGGGAGUGAGGUUAGAGGCUCACCCUGGGUUCUCCUGGCCACCCCAGCUCCACGGCUGGAGGGAAACCCCAGAAGCCUGUCCAGCCCGGCCAGCUCUCCCAGGCUGUGUGCCCUGGGUCAUCGACUUCCAUACACCCUGCCCUGGCCUGAGGGCCUGAACUAGGUCUCUACCCCAUGAUGGGAGCUAAACGCCUGCUAAUUCUGAUGGCCCUUGGCUGACAUGGGGCCUUAAUUACAGGGUAGAAGGGCUGGGGGCUGCCAACAGGGUCAGGGUCCCUAGGGGAUGGUUGCACGUGUGGCCCUGAAGGGGAAGCUUUUCUCCAUGGGCCUGGUGGGGAUAGAGGAAGUACAGCUUUACCAGGAGGGCUAUCAACCGCCUCUUCUGACCCCACUUUCAGGAUUCCAUGUGGGACAAGGCCUGUGGCAAAGGCCGUUUCAGAGGAGGGAGGCCCAUAGUACAGGCACCCCUACUAGAGGCCUGGGGGCUGCAGGGCUGCGGACAUCACUUUACAAGAGGGAAGAAGUCUGAUCCUUCAAAGGGAGCAAACACACAUAUUUCCUGCCACAGGAGACUUCCCCGGUGGUCCAGUGGUUAACAAUCCACCUUGCAACACAGGGGACGUGGGUUCAAUCCCUGGUGGGAGAACUAAUAUCCCACGUGCCAUGGAGCAAUUAAGCUGUGCAUCACAACUGCUGAGCCCGCACAUGGAACAUCCUGCAUGAGGAAAUGAAGACCCUUAGUGCCGCAACUCAGACCCAACGCAGCCAAAUACAUAAAUUUCCUGCCACAGGGAGACCCAGGAAAGUCAGCAGGUCAUUCUCCUGGGUGGAGGCCUCUCAGUGUCCCCUCAGCCUCUGUGCCCUGCACUCAGCCCAAAGUCAACUCGGAGCAGAUCUCAGGAAAGUGGGGGAUGGACAAACAGAUGGAUGAUGGAUGGAGAGACAGACAGACAGAUGCCUAGUGAGGUCUCCCCCAGGAGAGGAGCCUGGUGGCUGUGCGCUCUGGGGUGGCCAGGCCAGUGGGCAGUCUCUGCAGCUGUCCUUACAGGAUGCCUGCUCGCACUAGAGGUUGGAAGGCUUUUCAUUGACGUGGUAGAGAGGAAAUGGGUCAAAUCCACCAAUGAAAUCAACUGAAAGAAACCAAGACCCAAAUAAACAACCCAAAUGAUGGACAGGAUGGCAGAGCAGAGAAGUUCCCGAAUGCAAACACUCAGGUGAUGACACCGCAGCAGGAGCGGCCCAGACUGGAGGGUGGGGUUCCCACUUGGCGAAGGGUUUCACAGGACACUGGCCUCUCAGCAGGGGGUUGCCCCUUGCCCUGCUGGGCUCCCCUAGUCCUGGUGCCUCAAAGCUGUGACUGCACGGAGUGUGGGCGGCCAGGGCCUGCUGGGCCAAGCUGAACCCCAGGGCUGUCGCCUGACCGAAAAUAUUUUACUGUAACCAAUACAGGAAGCUCCUUCUGUUUCCUCCCAGUUGGCUGUGGGCUGAGCGAUUGUUUUGGGCCACCCAACACCAAGGGGCAGGGUACCUGGAGGCUGGUCCCUGAGCGAAUCUGGUUUCUGAGGACACUCGGCCCGCCAACUUCACAGCCACUCCCUCCUGACCUCUAGGGACAGAGGCUCUGAAUUGUGCUUCAGAUCCAGAGAAGUUUCUGCCCAUAGGAGCCCUGGGCCCCCUGGGUACACCCAGCCCCUCUCAUCCUUGUGAGAACCCGUCAGAGCCUGGGGUGGUCAGGUCAGCAAGAACACCUGAGUGUUCAUGAUGCAAAUCAGAGGAAAGUCGAGAGCAUUCUCAGAUGGGGGAUGUGCCUGCACUCCUCAAAUGUGUCCCCCCAGCACUAGGGCCUGAAGUGGGGCCAGCUGCCCUCUGCAAGGGGGAGUGAGAGGGCUUUUCCUCUGCUGGUCAGGGCUCAGCCUUCUGCCUGCAACAACUGUAGGGAUUGCAGGGCCAGCCCUGCAGCACAGAAACCCUCAGACCAGGGGAACUUGGGGUGUGCUGACCCCUGGUGCCCACAGCCCCAGACCUCCCCAUCUCUGCGUAGGCCAGAACCUCCAGGGCUUGGGGACUCUUUUAAGAGGCCAGCUCUCAGGCCUCUGUGGCCAGUCUGCAGCCUCUCUUCUCCUCCUCCACUGCCUGGCGGGGCCAGCAGGUCAGUAAUGGGAUUCUGCAGGAGGCUAGUGGUCACACACUUGCAGCUGUCCUCCUCCUUGGUGAUCACACUGACCACAUGGUAGGCACAGAUGAAGCCCAUGAGCUGAAAGACAUGGGGAGGUCCCUCAGACUGAAGCCCUGGGAGAUGUAUUCACAUCUUCGUGGGGCAUGGACCUCAGUGCAUCCUAACCAUGUGGCCACUGCCCACUGGCCUCCUCCUCCAUGUGGUCUGUAACUCGGAACAAGCAGGGUGAUAUGCCAGCCUCCUCAGCUCUCCUCAGCUCUGGAGUUCCAGAUGGUGUCCAUUCCCUAGCGGAGCCGGCACAUGCAUCCCUGUGGGUGAGGGCUGAGAGGGGCGAGGGCGGUCAGUGGAUGAGUGAGUCAGGAAAGUGAUCAAGCCCCUGCUUGAACGAGGAGUAAGAUGCAGGGAGAUGACUUGGGAGGCACAUGGCCACAGCCAGGAUGUCCCCUGGGUUGACUCCCUGUUAUAGCCAGGCCAUCCUCCCUGGGGCCUCUCACUGUAAGCAGACAACUACUGGAUUUCUUCCCCCUGGAAAGCCGCAGUAGAGAAGCUUCAAGUCAGCCAAGUUCACAGUCCGCACAACAGCACAGGGGAGACAGACUGAGGACUUGGUGCAGCAGGCAAUUCUGGGCAGAGUGGGUGGGGCAGGCUGCUGCCCUGCAGGGUGCUGUGCAGGGCCUCCAUGUGGCCAUACUCCAGGAUGGCUGUCUGUCCAGAGGACCCAGGCCAGCCGCUGGUUCCUUGUGCACACAGCCCAGGCCAUGCUCAUACUACCAGGACGGCUGCCAGGAGAGGUUGAGGUCAGGAAGUCACUCACCUCCU